CAUAUGAAAAUAAGGGUCUUUCCCGCAGAAGAUUGUUUUAUCCAAAUACUUAAAAUGUCACAAAAACAGGUGGCUGUCUCCACUGACCAGCCACCAAACAAUAAUUAUUAGACUAACUUAUACUUAUCCGAAUGCAACGAAAGUUUAUACACAUAAACUAGACACACCAAGCUAUGCUCACACAAAUUUUUGGGAUUUUUGGAGUUGAUUUGCUAUUUAAAUUAAAUCAUACAAAAACAGUACAGAAACCGAUUUUAAAUAAUACCAAUAGAUUUUAAUUCACAAGUUAAGAAAAUGAGUUAGGGGACAUGCUAUCCACCACCAAAUAAUCAUGUAAGUAUGUUAUGUUUCAUUCAAAUCCCUUUUAUUUCCGGAUGAAGAUGCUCAAGUUGGCUCACUGUUAGAACUCAACCUAUUACUCUUUCUUACGUAGUAUGUUAAGAGAAUGACGUUUUCAACUUAACUUAGUCCCUAGCAUGCAAUCUAGAAUGGUGUGUUUAUAGAUUUAACAAGUAGAAAUCAUUAAGAAUAAAAAGAGUUUGAGUCAUCACAAGGCAUCGUAAGUACUGGUGUUGUCUUACUUAUCCUAGAAAUCGUUUCACAUGUUAACCACAAUUAACAAGUGCUACUCUAGAACAUAUGUAGGUCCUCAUUCAACAAGGGCAGGCAGACAUAUAUUCAUAGCAUUAAAAUCCUAGAUAUGCUCACUAUGUAUGCAUCCAUAGAAACACAUAAAGAAUUUAUCAAUGACAUAAGUAGUGAAACAAUUUUCAUCCUUUCAUAAAAGUCAUUCAAACAAAAUAUCACAACAAAUUUACGAUCAUAUUCGGGGCUUCAAAACAGCCCCUAACUACUAAAAAUUAGUUACACAUUAUUUUCAAAUUAAACCAAAAGUUAAACAUGGGUUCGAGAAGAUAAAACCAAGAAAAUGGAGUGAAGCCUCUUCUCCCUGCUCUCUGCCGUGCCUCCUCCUUUGGAUUGAUGUGCUACUGACUU
rnacentral:lncRNA from 1 species